GGGGACGCUACGGAUUCGACAGGGGUAGUUUGAGCUUAGGUUGCGAGUCGAGGGGAUCGGCCUCGUUAAAACGUCAAAGCCAUAACUGGCAAAACUAACAAAACUUUCGCUUUAGCUGCUUAAUAGCGCUUAGCGGUUCGCCCCUCCAUCGCCCAUGUGGUAGGGUAGCGGACUCACUUUAAGUGGGCUACGCCGGAUUCCACCGCCUGAGGAUGAAGGAAGAGAACAACCAGGCUAGCUGACCGGACGCCGGUCGAUAGGCAAAAGGAUCAGUGAAACGCCAAUAUAUCGACUACACUCGUAGAUGCUUAAGUGCCGAUAUCUUUGGACGCGGGUUCGAUUCCCGCCGUCUCCACCA
rnacentral:tmRNA from 2 species